GAUGAACGCUGGCGGCGUGCCUAAUACAUGCAAGUCGAGCGAACGGACGAGAAGCUUGCUUCUCUGAUGUUAGCGGCGGACGGGUGAGUAACACGUGGAUAACCUACCUAUAAGACUGGGAUAACUUCGGGAAACCGUAGCUAAUACCGGAUAAUAUUUUGAACCGCAUGGUUCAAAAGUGAAAGACGGUCUUGCUGUCACUUAUAGAUGGAUCCGCGCUGCAUUAGCUAGUUGGUAAGGUAACGGCUUACCAAGGCAACGAUGCAUAGACGACCUGAGAGGGUGAUCGGCCACACUGGAACUGAGACACGGUCCAGACUCCUACGGGAGGCAGCAGUAGGGAAUCUUCCGCAGUAGGCGAAAGCCUGACGGAGCAACGCCGCGUGAGUGAUGAAGGUCUUCGGAUCGUAAAACUCUGUUAUUAGGGAAGAACAUAUGUGUAAGUAACUGUGCACAUCUUGACGGUACCUAAUCAGAAAGCCACGGCUAACUACGUG
rnacentral:rRNA from 1 species